AGCAGCCGCGGUAAUUCCAGCUCCAAUAGCGUAUAUUAAAGUUGUUGCAGUUAAAAGCUCGUAGUUGAAUUUCGGGGUUAGUAGGUUGGUCAUGCCUCUGGUAUGUACUGGUCUCACUGAUUCCUCCUUCCUGAUGAACCUUAAUGCCAUUAAUUUGGUGUUUUGGGGAAUUUGGACUGUUACUUUGAAAAAUUGAGUGUUUAAAGCAGGCAUUUUUGCUUGAAUACAUUAGCAUGGAAUAAUAAAAUAGGACGGCAUGGUUCUAUUUUGUUGGUUUCUAGGACCACCGUAAUGAUUAAUAGGGAUAGUUGGGGGCAUUAGUAUUCAAUUGUCAGAGGUGAAAUUCUUGGAUUUAUUGAAGACUAACUACUGCGAAAGCAUUUGCCAAGGAUGUUUUCAUUAAUCAAGAACGAAAGUUAGGGAUCGAAGACGAUCAGAUACCGUCGUAGUCUUAACCAUAAACUAUGCCGACUAGGGAUCGGAUGAUGUUAAUUUUUAAUGUACUCAUUCGGCGCCUUAC
rnacentral:misc_RNA from 1 species